GUCCACGUUGCGGCGGACCAGAGCCAGAAUCCUGCGAGGAUGAUGGCGGCGGCCGGCCAAAGCCUCGUCGUCAUGACGGUGAGGCCGGUCGC
rnacentral:sRNA from 25 species